rnacentral:rRNA from 1 species
UGUUUCGGCUAGGGGGCCAUCCCGGCUUACCAACCCGAUGCAAACUGCGAAUACCGGAGAAUGUUAUCACGGGAGACACACGGCGGGUGCUAACGUCCGUCGUGAAGAGGGAAACAACCCAGACCGCCAGCUAAGGUCCCAAAGUCAUGGUUAAGUGGGAAACGAUGUGGGAAGGCCCAGACAGCCAGGAUGUUGGCUUAGAAGCAGCCAUCAUUUAAAGAAAGCGUAAUAGCUCACUGGUCGAGUCGGCCUGCGCGGAAGAUGUAACGGGGCUAAACCAUGCACCGAAGCUGCGGCAGCGACACUCAGGUGUUGUUGGGUAGGGGAGCGUUCUGUAAGCCUGUGAAGGUGGCCUGUGAGGGUUGCUGGAGGUAUCAGAAGUGCGAAUGCUGACAUAAGUAACGAUAAAGCGGGUGAAAAGCCCGCUCGCCGGAAGACCAAGGGUUCCUGUCCAACGUUAAUCGGGGCAGGGUGAGUCGACCCCUAAGGCGAGGCCGAAAGGCGUAGUCGAUGGGAAACGGGUUAAUAUUCCCGUACUUGGUGUUACUGCGAAGGGGGGACGGAGAAGGCUAUGUUGGCCGGGCGACGGUUGUCCCGGUUUAAGCGUGUAGGUGUGUGUUCCAGGUAAAUCCGGUUCACUUUAACACUGAGGCGUGACGACGAGGCACUACGGUGCUGAAGCAACAAAUGCCCUGCUUCCAGGAAAAGCCUCUAAGCAUCAGGUAACAUCAAAUCGUACCCCAAACCGACACAGGUGGUCAGGUAGAGAAUACCAAGGCGCUUGAG